CGGCGAGCGAAAAGAAAAUAGUUCAGCACUAAGUCACUUUGUCUUUAUGGCAAAUGUGAGAUGCAGUGUAUGGAAUGUCAAUUUUCUAGUAUGAGAAAUUAACGAUUUAAGUCCUUCUUAAAUGAGGCCAUUUACCCAAAGAGGGUGCCAGGCCCGUAUAACGUUAAUGAUUACUAGAUGGCAUUUCCAAAGAGUCGUGUUGCUUGAUAGUGCAGCACUAAGUGGGUGGUAAACUCCAUCUAAAACUAAAUAUAACCAUGAGACCGAUAGUAAACAAGUACCGUGAGGGAAAGUUGAAAAGAACUCUGAAUAGAGAGUUAAAUAGUACGUGAAACUGCUUAGAGGUUAAGCCCGAUGAACCUGAAUAUCCGUUAUGGAAAAUUCAUCAUUAUGAUUUUAAUAUUUAUAAUAUUAUAAUAAUGGUGUGCAUUUUUUCUAUAAAGGACAUUGUAAUCUAUUAACAUAAAUUAAUUUAUCAUAAGAUCAUUUGCGUAAGUUUAUUCAAAUUAUUUUGCUUGCAUUUUAAUAUCGAAUAAAUGCUUUUGAUUUGAUAAAGUGUUGAUAGAUUUAUUAUAUACAGUGCUUAAAUAUUUAUAUUUUAUAAUAGCAUAUUAAUCAAUGAUUUUUAUGUUCAUUAUA
rnacentral:rRNA from 1 species